CAUCUACAGAAGGCCACACACAAAAAAUGAGAACUCAUAGAGUGAAAGGUCAUCUGAAGGAGAGAGAAUAAAGCUGCGUAGGUGCAGUCGGAUGAUGCAACUAAUGACAAUCUUUGUCAAAUAGAAAUCAGGUUAUAAAUGCUGCAGGUGGAUUUGGAUUUAGUUGCAUUCAGGGGUGGAUCCAUCUGAUCAAGCACGACUCCUCGUGACCCCCGGGACCAAUUUGGGCUCCGCACCUACAGCACGCGCCGGGUGAUCCGCGUAUUUUACAUUGUUUGGUUGUCCAGGAAACGCGCGACGCCGCCAUCUGUCACGUCCACGCGUGCCGCUGAUCUCCAUCGGACUCUCGUGUAUCACUAAAACAAUAUUUAGUGGCCAAAUGAAGAUGAAGAGCACCAGCGAUAAAAGUGGGCUUUAUUGCACAGAGCUGGUGCACACAAAAAGAAAAAAACAAAAAACAAACAACAAAAAAACGAAUAAAUAAAAACUGAAGUCAACAUUUAAAUAUAAAAAUCUAGUUUCACUAGAACUGCAUGUUGCAGUAAAUAUAUUAUUGUGGCUUAAGUGAAAUAAACAGUGAUGAACACUG